rnacentral:rRNA from 1 species
GGGAAUCUACCCAGAUCUACGGAACAACAGAGGGAAACUUCUGCUAAUACCGUAUACGCCCUACGGGGGAAAGAUUUAUCGGAUUUGGAUGAGCCCGCGUAAGAUUAGCUAGUUGGUGAGGUAAUGGCUCACCAAGGCGACGAUCUUUAGCUGGUCUGAGAGGAUGAUCAGCCACACUGGGACUGAGACACGGCCCAGACUCCUACGGGAGGCAGCGGUGGGGAAUAUUGGACAAUGGGCGCAAGCCUGAUCCAGCCAUGCCGCGUGAGUGAUGAAGGCCUUAGGGUUGUAAAGCUCUUUCAGUGGGGAAGAUAAUGACGGUACCCACAGAAGAAGCCCCGGCUAACUUCGUGCCAGCAGCCGCGGUAAUACGAAGGGGGCUAGCGUUGUUCGGAUUUACUGGGCGUAAAGCGCACGUAGGCGGUUUGUUAAGUCAGAGGUGAAAUCCUGGAGCUCAACUCCAGAACUGCCUUUGAUACUGGCAAGCUCGAGUCCGGAAGAGGUAAGUGGAACUCCUAGU